rnacentral:rRNA from 1 species
GAUGAACGCUGGCGGCGUGCUUAACACAUGCAAGUCGAACGAAACACCUUAUUUGAUUUUCUUCGGAACUGAAGAUUUGGUGAUUGAGUGGCGGACGGGUGAGUAACGCGUGGGUAACCUGCCCUGUACAGGGGGAUAACAGUCAGAAAUGACUGCUAAUACCGCAUAAGACCACAGCACCGCAUGGUGCAGGGGUAAAAACUCCGGUGGUACAGGAUGGACCCGCGUCUGAUUAGCUGGUUGGUGAGGUAACGGCUCACCAAGGCGACGAUCAGUAGCCGGCUUGAGAGAGUGAACGGCCACAUUGGGACUGAGACACGGCCCAAACUCCUACGGGAGGCAGCAGUGGGGAAUAUUGCACAAUGGGGGAAACCCUGAUGCAGCGACGCCGCGUGAGUGAAGAAGUAUCUCGGUAUGUAAAGCUCUAUCAGCAGGGAAGAAAAUGACGGUACCUGA